AGAAGACGAACCAGAGGCCGACCGCCGCCACCCGCCGCCGCACCGGGAAAAUUUUCGACCGCCGAUCGAGGUAAAUUUCAUACUCCCGACUCGUUUUUCCACGCUGAUUCCUCCUAUGGCCAAAUCGAGGCCGAAAUCCCGGCCAAACGGCCGGAAUACGCGGCCGAAGCCCAGCGGCGCCGCCGUGCCCCCUCUCAGUUUUUGCCUCCGACGAGGCCCUUCCCGGCCUCCGUUCGAUGCAAUUUUUAUAUCACCGUGAUCACCAUUCUUUUCUCUACAGGUUGACCGGAGCCGAAUCACCAAAACACGAACCUCGCCGGAGAGCCGCCGCACCCGAGAGCGCCGCCGCCGGUAAGCUCCGUUUUUCCGUGAUUUUUUGGCCCCCCGAGGGCCCUAGGGUUGUUUUCUCACAAGGACCGAUGCGAGUGUGGCCGAAUUCGGCCGAAAACGGCCGAAAACAGCCAACCCGAGGCGACUCGCCGCCGCCGUGCCGGAG
rnacentral:lncRNA from 1 species